CGACCGGCGCACGGGUGCGUAACGCGUAUACAAUCUACCUUUUGCUGAGGGAUAGCCCAGAGAAAUUUGGAUUAAUACCUCAUGGUAUUAUUUAUUGGCAUCAAUAGAUAAUUAAAGGUUACGGCAAAAGAUGAGUAUGCGUUCUAUUAGCUAGAUGGUGUGGUAACGGCACACCAUGGCAACGAUAGAUAG
rnacentral:rRNA from 13 species